rnacentral:rRNA from 1 species
GGUGAACGCUGACAGAAUGCUUAACACAUGCAAGUCUACUUGAAUUUGGGUUUUUAACUUAGGUUUGGGUGGCGGACGGGUGAGUAACGCGUAAAGAACUUGCCUCACAGCUAGGGACAACAUUUAGAAAUGAAUGCUAAUACCUAAUAUUAUGAUAAUAGGGCAUCCUAUAAUUAUGAAAGCUAUAUGCGCUGUGAGAGAGCUUUGCGUCCCAUUAGCUAGUUGGAGAGGUAACGGCUCACCAAGGCGAUGAUGGGUAGCCGGCCUGAGAGGGUGAUCGGCCACAAGGGGACUGAGACACGGCCCUUACUCCUACGGGAGGCAGCAGUGGGGAAUAUUGGACAAUGGACCGAGAGUCUGAUCCAGCAAUUCUGUGUGCACGAUGAAGUUUUUCGGAAUGUAAAGUGCUUUCAGUUGGGAAGAAAGAAAUGACGGUACCAACAGAAGAAGUGACGGCUAAAUACGUGCCAGCAGCCGCGGUAAUACGUAUGUCACGAGCGUUAUCCGGAUUUAUUGGGCGUAAAGCGCGUCUAGGUGGUUAUAUAAGUCUGAUGUGAAAAUGCAGGGCUCAACUCUGUAUUGCGUUGGAAACUGUAUAACUAGAGUACUGGAGAGGUAAGCGGAACUACAAGUGUAGAGGUGAAACUCGUAGAUAUUUGUAGGAAUGCCGAUGGGGAAGCCAGCUUACUGGACAGAUACUGACGCUGAAGCGCGAAAGCGUGGGUAGCAAACAGG